CCUUCCGUAGCUCAGUCGGAACCAGAGCGCCGCCGUCCGAAGGCGAAGGUCGCCGGUUCGAGCCCGGCCGGAAGGUCCA
rnacentral:tRNA from 1 species